rnacentral:rRNA from 1 species
UACGUAGGGUGCAAGCGUUGUCCGGAAUUAUUGGGCGUAAAGAGCUCGUAGGCGGCCAGUUGCGUCUGCUGUGAAAUCCCGGGGCUCAACCCCGGGCGUGCAGUGGAUACGGGCUGGCUAGAGGCAGGCAGGGGAGAACGGAAUUCCCGGUGUAGCGGUGAAAUGCGCAGAUAUCGGGAGGAACACCGGUGGCGAAGGCGGGUCUCUGGGCAGUAACUGACGCUGAGGAGCGAAAGCGUGGGGAGCGAACAGG